UACGAGGGGUGCAAGCGUUGCUCGGAAUUAUUGGGCGUAAAGGGUAGGUAGGUGGUCUCAUUUGUCUGGGGUGAAAGCCUUGAGCUUAACUCAAGAAGUGCCCCAGAAACGGUGAGACUAGAGUCCUGGAGAGGGUCGUGGAAUUCCCGGUGUAGCGGUGAAAUGCGUAGAGAUCGGGAGGAACACCAGAGGCGAAGGCGGCGACCUGGACAGGCACUGACACUCAACUACGAAAGCGUGGGGAGCAAACAGG
rnacentral:rRNA from 1 species